rnacentral:rRNA from 1 species
GAUGAACGCUGGCUACAGGCUUAACACAUGCAAGUCGAGGGGAAACGACGGGGAAGCUUGCUUCCCCGGGCGUCGACCGGCGCACGGGUGAGUAACGCGUAUCCAACCUGCCUCUGACUGAGGGAUAACCCGUCGAAAGUCGGCCUAAUACCUCAUGGUAUCGUCUGCGGGCAUCCAACGACGAUUAAAGAUUUCAUCGGUCAGGGAUGGGGAUGCGUCUGAUCAGCUUGUUGGCGGGGUAACGGCCCACCAAGGCUACGAUCAGUAGGGGUUCUGAGAGGAAGGUCCCCCACAUUGGAACUGAGACACGGUCCAAACUCCUACGGGAGGCAGCAGUGAGGAAUAUUGGUCAAUGGGCGAGAGCCUGAACCAGCCAAGUAGCGUGCAGGAAGACGGCCCUAUGGGUUGUAAACUGCUUUUAUGCGGGGAUAAAGUGAGGGACGUGUCCCUCAUUGCAGGUACCGCAUGAAUAAGGACCGGCUAAUUCCGUG